GUAGCGGCGAGCGAAACGGAAACAGCCCAAACCAACAAGCUUGCUUGUUGGGGUUGUAGGACUCAGCUGUGGUAGCUGUUGUAGAUAGUCGAAUGACCUGGAAAGGUCAGCCGUAGCGGGUAAAAGCCCCGUAGGCGAAAUCGACAACACACCUAUGAGUAUCCUGAGUACGGCGGAACACGAGAAAUUCCGUCGGAAUCCGGGAGGACCAUCUCCCAAGGCUAAAUACUCUCUAGUGACCGAUAGUGUACCAGUACCGUGAGGGAAAGGUGAAAAGCACCCCGGAAGGGGAGUGAAAUAGAACCUGAAACCGUGUGCCUACAAGAAGUUAGAGCCCGUUAAUGGGUGAUAGCGUGCCUUUUGCAGAAUGGACCGGCGAGUUACGAUUGCAUGCGAGGUUAAGCUGAAGAAGCGGAGCCGUAGCGAAAGCGAGUCUGAAUAGGGCGAGUGAGCAUGUAGUCGUAGACCCGAAACCAUGUGACCUACCCAUGUCCAGGUUGAAGGUGCGGUAAAACGCACUGGAGGACCGAACCCACGUACGUUGAAAAGUGCGGGGAUGAGGUGUGGGUAGCGGAGAAGUUCCAAACGAACUUGGAGAUAGC
rnacentral:rRNA from 1 species